rnacentral:rRNA from 1 species
UUUAAUUCGAAGCAACGCGAAGAACCUUACCAGGUCUUGACCAUCCCGAUGCUGUUCUAGAGAUAGAAAGUUACUUCGGUACAUCGGUGACAGGUGGUGCAUGGUUGUCGUCAGCUCGUGUCGUGAGAUGUUGGGUUAAGUCCCGCAACGAGCGCAACCCCUAUUGUUAGUUGCCAUCAUUCAGUUGGGCACUCUAGCGAGACUGCCGGUAAUAAACCGGAGGAAGGUGGGGAUGACGUCAAAUCAUCAUGCCCCUUAUGACCUGGGCUACACACGUGCUACAAUGGUUGGUACAACGAGUUGCGAGUCGGUGACGGCGAGCUAAUCUCUUAAAGCCAAUCUCAGUUCGGAUUGUAGGCUGCAACUCGCCUACAUGAAGUCGGAAUCGCUAGUAAUCGCGGAUCAGCACGCCGCGGUGAAUACGUUCCCGGGCCUU